rnacentral:rRNA from 1 species
UGGGGAAUAUUGGACAAUGGGCGCAAGCCUGAUCCAGCCAUGCCGCGUGAGUGAAGAAGGCCCUAGGGUUGUAAAGCUCUUUCAACGGGGAAGAUAAUGACGGUACCCGUAGAAGAAGCCCCGGCUAACUUCGUGCCAGCAGCCGCGGUAAUACGAAGGGGGCUAGCGUUGUUCGGAAUUACUGGGCGUAAAGCGCACGUAGGCGGAUUGUUUAGUUAGGGGUGAAAUCCCAGGGCUUAACCCUGGAACUGCCUCUAAUACUGGCAGUCUAGAGUCCGAGAGAGGUGAGUGGAAUUCCGAGUGUAGAGGUGAAAUUCGUAGAUAUUCGGAGGAACACCAGUGGCGAAGGCGGCUCACUGGCUCGGUACUGACGCUGAGGUGCGAAAGCGUGGGGAGCAAACAGGAUUAGAUACCCCCGUAGUCC